rnacentral:rRNA from 1 species
GGAAAACUUACCAGGUCCAGACAUAGUGAGGAUUGACAGAUUGAGAGCUCUUUCUUGAUUCUAUGGGAGGUGGUGCAUGUCCGUUCUUAGUUGGUGGAUUGAUUUGUCUGGUUAAUUCCAUUAACGAACGAGACCCUCGCCUGCUAAAUAGGUCCGUGAAUGAAUUUCAUUGACGAGAUCUUCUUAGAGGGACUUUUGGUGACUAACCAAAGGAAGUUGGGGGCAAUAC